rnacentral:rRNA from 1 species
AUUGAACGCUGGCGGCAGGCCUAACACAUGCAAGUCGAAUGGUAACAGGAAACAGCUUGCUGUUUCGCUGACGAGUGGCGGACGGGUGAGUAAUGUCUGGGAAACUGCCUGAUGGAGGGGGAUAACUACUGGAAACGGUAGCUAAUACCGCAUAACGUCGCAAGACCAAAGAGGGGGACCUUCGGGCCUCUUGCCAUCAGAUGUGCCCAGAUGGGAUUAGCUAGUAGGUGGGGUAACGGCUCACCUAGGCGACGAUCCCUAGCUGGUCUGAGAGGAUGACAGCCACACUGGAACUGAGACACGGUCCAGACUCCUACGGGAGGCAGCAGUGGGGAAUAUUGCACAAUGGGCGCAAGCCUGAUGCAGCCAUGCCGCGUGUAUGAAGAAGGCCUUCGGGUUGUAAAGUACUUUCAGCGGGGAGGAAGGGAGUAAAGUUAAUACCUUUGCUCAUUGACGUUACCCGCAGAAGAAGCACCGGCUAACUCCGUG